rnacentral:rRNA from 1 species
CCUGGCUCACGAUAACGCUGGCGGCACGCUUAACACAUGCAAGUCGAACGAGAGAAGAGAAGCUUGCUUUUCUGAUCUAGUGGCGGACGGGUGAGUAACACGUGAGCAAUCUGCCUUUCAGAGGGGGAUACCGAUUGGAAACGAUCGUUAAUACCGCAUAACAUAAUUGAACCGCAUGAUUUGAUUAUCAAAGAUUUAUCGCUGAAAGAUGAGCUCGCGUCUGAUUAGCUAGUUGGUAAGGUAACGGCUUACCAAGGCGACGAUCAGUAGCCGGACUGAGAGGUUGAUCGGCCACAUUGGGACUGAGACACGGCCCAGACUCCUACGGGAGGCAGCAGUGGGGAAUAUUGCACAAUGGAGGAAACUCUGAUGCAGCGAUGCCGCGUGAGGGAAGAAGGUUUUAGGAUUGUAAACCUCUGUCUUCAGGGACGAAAAAUGACGGUACCUGAGGAGGAAGCUCCGGCUAACUACGUGCCAGCAGCCGCGGUAAUACGUAGGGAGCGAGCGUUGUCCGGAAUUACUGGGUGUAAAGGGAGCGUAGGCGGGAUCGCAAGUCAGAUGUGAAAACUAUGGGCUUAACCCAUAAACUGCAUUUGAAACUGUGGUUCUUGAGUGAAGUAGAGGUAAGCGGAAUUCCUAGUGUAGCGGUGAAAUGCGUAGAUAUUAGGAGGAACAUCAGUGGCGAAGGCGGCUUACUGGGCUUUAACUGACGCUGAGGCUCGAAAGCGUGGGGAGCAACAGGAUUAGAUACCCUGGUAGUCCACGCCGUAAACGAUGAUUACUAGGUGGGGGGGGACUGACCCCUUCCGUGCCGCAGCAAACGCAAUAAGUAAUCCACCUGGGGAGUACGACCGCAAGGUUGAAACUCAAAGGAAUUGACGGGGGCCCGCACAAGCAGUGGAGUAUGUGGAUUAAUUCGAAGCAACGCGAAGAACCUUACCAGGUCUUGACAUCGUAUGCAUAGCUCAGAGAUGAGUGAAAUCUCUUCGGAGACAUAUAGACAGGUGGUGCAUGGUUGUCGUCAGCUCGUGUCGUGAGAUGUUGGGUUAAGUCCCGCAACGAGCGCAACCCUUACUGUUAGUUGCUACGCAAGAGCACUCUAGCAGGACUGCCGUUGACAAAACGGAGGAAGGUGGGGAUGACGUCAAAUCAUCAUGCCCCUUAUGACCUGGGCCUCACACGUACUACAAUGGCUGUUAACAGAGGGAUGCAAAGCCGCGAGGUGGAGCGAACCCCUAAAAGCAGUCUUAGUUCGGAUUGUAGGCUGCAACCCGCCUACAUGAAGUCGGAAUUGCUAGUAAUCGCAGAUCAGCAUGCUGCGGUGAAUACGUUCCCGGGCCUUGUACACACCGCCCG